UAGGGAAUCUUCCGCAAUGGGCGAAAGCCUGACGGAGCAACGCCGCGUGAGUGAUGAAGGUCUUCGGCUCGUAAAACUCUGUUAUUAGGGAAGCACAAAUGUGUAAGUAACUAUGCACGUCUUGACGGUACCUAAUCAGAAAGCCACGGCUAACUACGUGCCAGCAGCCGCGGUAAUACGUAGGUGGCAAGCGUUAUCCGGAAUUAUUGGGCGUAAAGCGCGCGUAGGCGGUUUUUUAAGUCUGAUGUGAAAGCCCACGGCUCAACCGUGGAGGGUCAUUGGAAACUGGAAAACUUGAGUGCAGAAGAGGAAAGUGGAAUUCCAUGUGUAGCGGUGAGAUGCGCAGAGAUAUGGAGGAACACCAGUGGCGAAGGCGACUUUCUGGUCUGUAACUGACGCUGAUGUGCGAAAGCGUGGGGAUCAAACAGG
rnacentral:rRNA from 1 species